UAAGUACUCCCUCCUUCCGGCAAUACAUGUCCGAAGAAUGGAUGUAUCUAAAUGUAUUUUAGUUUUUUUUUUGGAAAACGAGGUUCAAACCUCCGGCCUCUGCAUCAAUCGAUGCAUACGGCCAUAAAUGUAUUUUAGUUCUAGAUACAUUCAAUUCUAUUCAUUUGUGCGACAAGUAAUACCGGACGGAGGGAGUAUAUG
rnacentral:pre_miRNA from 1 species